rnacentral:rRNA from 1 species
CAAACUGAAGAUGGCGACCGGCGCACGGGUGAGUAACACGUAUCCAACCUGCCGAUAACCCUGGAAUAGCCUUUCGAAAGAAAGAUUAAUACCGGAUAGUAUACGAAUAUCGCAUGAUAUUUUUAUUAAAGAAUUUCGGUUAUCGAUGGGGAUGCGUUCCAUUAGUUUGUUGGCGGGGUAACGGCCCACCAAGACUACGAUGGAUAGGGGUUCUGAGAGGAAGGUCCCCCACAUUGGAACUGAGACACGGUCCAAACUCCUACGGGAGGCAGCAUG